rnacentral:rRNA from 1 species
ACCUCCACUCAGGCAAGAUUACCCGCCGAACUUAAGCAUAUCAGUAAGCGGAGGAAAAUAAAACAACAGUGAUUUCCCUAGUAACGGCGAGUGAAGCGGAAAAAGCCCAGCAUUUAAUCUCUCUCUUGUAGAGCGAAUUGUAAUGUACGAACUAGUACUUAUGUAAACAGGGCAACUACCAAAGUUUUCAGGAAUGAAGCGCCACAGAGGGUAAUAGCCCCGUAUCUGGUAGUUGUCUAUGCCCCUAAUGCUAGAUUCUCGAGUCGGACUGUUUGGGAUUGCAGUCUAAACGAUGGUGAACUAUGCAUGAGCGGUGGUAGACUCCAUCCAAGGCUAAAUAUAAGCACAAAACCGAUAGCGAACAAGUACCGUGAGGGAAAGUUGAAAAGAAUUCUGAAAAGAGAGUUAAAAGUACGUGAAACCGUUAACAGGGAAGCGGAAGGCUGUGUCGAGACGGUACAAGGCGUGGUGACUAAUGUCUUUUUUAAAGAUUCAUUAGGUAGCUUUGUCUUGUACGUGCGUCAGACAUGUCGUUUCCUGCAGUCAAAGUAGUCAUGGUUGUAACUUCCUUCGGGUUGUUGCUGCGGUCUGCAUUGGAUUGUCGGAGAUGGCAUAUGAUUGCCUAUGUUGAUCAUAUGUAAGUAUUUCUUACUAGUGUUGCGUCUAAUUGUCGUAGGGUUAGUAAAAAGUGCUUCUGAUCAGCGUAGGUCUGGCGAGAUACCUAGUCUUCCGACCCGUCUUGAAACACGGACCAAGGAGGCAGAAGCUAGAGCGAGUUGGAGGGUGCAAAACCCGACGGCAAAGUGAAAGCAAUAAAUGAGACUGCGUUUAGGCGUGGGCAUCAUUGACCAGUACUUUAGUACUGAGUUAGAGCUCUAGCUGCUGAACCCGAAAGAUGGUGAACUAUGCAUGAGCAGAACAAAGUCAGGGGAAACUCUGAUGGAAGUUCGAAGCGAUUCUGACGUGCAAAUCGAUCGUUAGACUUGUGUAUAGGGGCGAUAGACUAAUCGAACCAUCUAGUAGCUGGUUCCCUUCGAAAUAUCCCUCAGGAUCGCUGAGACAAGUAAAGCAGUUUCAUCGGGUAGAGCUAAUGAUUAGAGGAAUUGGGGACGUUAUGUCUUCAACCUAUUCUCAAACUCCCAACUGGUGAUUGUGUUAUUUUCUCAAAUGAAAUGACACAUUGAAUGCUUUUGUCUCAAGUGGGCCAUUUUUGGUAAGCAGAACUGGCGAUGCGGGAUGAACCGAGAGCUAAGCUAAGGUGCCAAACAACACGUUAACAGAUACCACAAAAGGUGUCGGUUGAUCAAGACAGCAGGACGGUGUCCCUAGCAGUAGGAAUCCGCUAAGGAUUGUGUUACAACUCACCUGCCAAAUUAACCGGCCCUGAAAAUGGAUGGCGCUUAAACGUGUGACCGAUGCUUGGCCUUUACUACUAGAAAUGUUAGUAAAGGGUAGAAGGGCGCAGCGGUAGUGACCAAGUGUAAAGCGUGAGCUUACAUGAAACUGCCGUUGGUGUAGAUCUUGGUGGUAGUAGCAACUAUAAAAGUGAGAAUUAACCUUUUAGGCCGAAGUGGAGAAGGGUUCCACGUGAACAGCAAUUGGACGUGGGUUAGUCGGUCCUAAG